GGACGAACGCUGGCGGCGUGCUUAACACAUGCAAGUCGAACGAUGAAGCCUUUCGGGGUGGAUUAGUGGCGAACGGGUGAGUAACACGUGGGCAAUCUGCCCUUCACUCUGGGACAAGCCCUGGAAACGGGGUCUAAUACCGGAUAACACUCUGUCCCGCAUGGGACGGGGUUAAAAGCUCCGGCGGUGAAGGAUGAGCCCGCGGCCUAUCAGCUUGUUGGUGGGGUAAUGGCCUACCAAGGCGACGACGGGUAGCCGGCCUGAGAGGGCGACCGGCCACACUGGGACUGAGACACGGCCCAGACUCCUACGGGAGGCAGCAGUGGGGAAUAUUGCACAAUGGGCGAAAGCCUGAUGCAGCGACGCCGCGUGAGGGAUGACGGCCUUCGGGUUGUAAACCUCUUUCAGCAGGGAAGAAGCGAGAGUGACGGUACCUGCAGAAGAAGCGCCGGCUAACUACGUGCCAGCAGCCGCGGUAAUACGUAGGGCGCAAGCGUUGUCCGGAAUUAUUGGGCGUAAAGAGCUCGUAGGCGGCUUGUCACGUCGGAUGUGAAAGCCCGGGGCUUAACCCCGGGUCUGCAUUCGAUACGGGCUAGCUAGAGUGUGGUAGGGGAGAUCGGAAUUCCUGGUGUAGCGGUGAAAUGCGCAGAUAUCAGGAGGAACACCGGUGGCGAAGGCGGAUCUCUGGGCCAUUACUGACGCUGAGGAGCGAAAGCGUGGGGAGCGAACAGGAUUAGAUACCCUGGUAGUCCACGCCGU
rnacentral:rRNA from 1 species